GCUGAAGGCACCCUGGACGUAUCCUCACCUUAGGGUUCUGGUAGCUGGUGACCGCUAUAAAGGACGUCUCAGAGAAGGAGAUGGAGGAUGCGGGGCGCGGGUGGGCGCCAUUACCUGAGGUCAUCGACCAGGUCCUGCCGUGUAGUUCUGGGAUGAUCCCGCACCUUCCUCAUGAUCAUUGAUGCCCCACGAGGUGAGAUCUUGCAUGGAGCCCCAGACAGAGGGAGAUUGUCCGCCAUCUUGAACUUCUUCCAUUUUCUAAUAAUUGCACUUCUCACCAAGCUGCUUGUCUAUUGUCCUGUAGCCCAUCCCGACCUUGUGCAGGUCCCCAAUGUUAUCCCUGAUGUCCUUACAGAGCUCUGGUCUUGGCCAUUGUGGAGAGGUCGGAGUCUGUUUGAUUGAGGUUGUGGACAGGUGUCUUAUAUACAGAUUCCGUCUCUCACAGUGGAAGAGAAACUAGGAUAAAAAUGACCGACCUCUACAUGCUUUAGCAGCAGCCAUGGUCCGCAGAGAACUUCCAAACCAUCAGAGGGGUCUCAUUGGUGAAAGAUAUCGGUCCGGAGAAGGAAUCAAAGAAUGUCCAAAGCAUCAGAUCUACAGAUCUACCAUGGGACGCAGUGAGGCGAUCAUCUUCAUGUGGAGAAAAUACGGCACAAAAGAGACAUUACUAAGAUCUGAACGUUCCUACAAAAGUCAUAAAAAGACGAGAAGAAAACUGGUCAGGGAGGCUUCCAAGAGGCCUUCUGCAACAUUAAAGGAACUGCAGGCAUUUCCGGCAAGUACUGGCUGUGCUUCAUGAGAGAACAAUCUCCCGUAUUCUUCAUAUGACUGCGCUAUGGGCUAUUCUCUCUGCUGCCACCUCUGUUUGUAUCAGGAACUGUCCUGAGCAGAAGAGGUUUUCUAUGGGGAUUUGCUCCUGCUCUGGGCAGUUCCUGACAUGGACAGGUGUCAGCAGAGAGCACUGUGGUCAGACUGGAAAGAGCUACACAACUUCUGUGGGGUGCACAGGAGAGGGCCUCACAAUCUGAUCUGGAAUGGCUGAUAACUGCGAGCAAUAGCUCUAAAUAUUUUGCCUUCAGAAGGUGCUUUCUCUUGCAUUAGGGGUCUGUGGUCCAAUGGCGCCCCCUAGGAGGGGCAAAAUCAACGCACUGUAUGCGCCACUCCAGAAAAAGAAAGAAUUAUUUUAUAUUAUGUCUUAUAGAGAGGAACCUGUACGGAGAAGCAGAGCUGCAGUGUAAAGCAUAGAGGAAAAGGCAGAGACGCAGCCUAAGCCACCGCAACGUUUAUGACUACCAGUUACAAAACUACAACUCCCAUCAUGCCCGGACAGCCGAAGGCAGCUCAGCAGACAGUAUUAUAUAUGAAAUGCUUAGAUACACUGGUUUAUCUGAGUUGUAUGUAGGAUUUCCAAUUCACUGCCAUGUAUCUAAGCACAUGCCCCCGAAUAUACUUCUCGAUCCUCUCCAACCUGCCCCGUGGGGUGACCCCUGGUGAUUCGGGGCAGGUGCUGAGAUACGGGUGGUCACUCCUCAUUCUCUGCUCCAUUACUGGAGGUUGUUGCCCCCCUGUGUUGGAGGGUGAGGGGUUAAUGGUCGCACCUAUCUGUGAAAUGAGAACAAAGAGAAGGUCUGAGGCCGCAGCCACAUGUCACCUGACCGCAGGGACAUCUGUGGGGACGGCCAUGGGGGGCUGGGGGUGUACUGGGGGCACCCGAGGAGGAAGUCCUCAAUAUAAUAUGUGAUACUGUCUGUGGAGCAGUGUAUCUAAGCAUAUCAUGUCUGAUAUUGUGUUAUGAGCAGUGUAUCUAAGUGUGAUACUGUCUUCUCAGCUGGUGUACUUACCCCUCUUGUGUGAUCCCAUCUUGACCCCAUUUUGAUGUAAGGUUGGAUACACCUUCUUCUAUUGACAGAAUAGAGG